UAGUAACGGCGAGUGAAGCGGGAAGAGCUCAAGCUUAAAAUCUCCGUGCAAGUUUUGUGCGGCGAAAUGUAGUCUAUAGAAGCGUGGUCAGCAUGGGCACUUGGGGCAAGUUCCUUGGAAGAGGACAGCAUGGAGGGUGAUACUCCCGUUCAUUUCUGAGUUGCUCGUGCGUACGACCCGUUUUCUUUGAGUCGCGUUGUUUGGGAAUGCAGCGCAAAGUAGGUGGUAAAUUCCAUCUAAAGCUAAAUAUUGGUGCGAGACCGAUAGCGAACAAGUACCGUGAGGGAAAGAUGAAAAGAACUUUGAAAAGAGAGUUAAAGAGUACCUGAAACUGCUGAAAGGGAACCGAAUCGUUUCCAGUGUCUAUAAUCCGUGGUAUAUUUCAUUGGCGAGUGUGUGCGUGCGUGUGCUGUGGCAGCGGCUUUUUUGGCUGCGCUCGGCGUGUGUGCUGUGUGUGCUUGCUGGUGCUCUGUGCUGCGGUGGGACGUCAAGGUCAGUUCGUAUGCUGCGGGAAAUGGCUGCCGAGGAGGUAGGGCUUACGCUUGCGUUUGUCUGUUAUAUCUUGGUGGACGAGUAGUCGCGGUUGGGACUGAGGUGCCUACAACGUGCUUUUGAGUGGGUUUGUGUCUCCGUGUGCGCCGUGUGCGGAUAGCUUGCUAUGCGUGUGUGGUUGUGUGUGGAUUGAUGCGAGCUUUAACUUGUUGCCGUUC
rnacentral:rRNA from 1 species